rnacentral:rRNA from 1 species
AUUGAACGCUGGCGGCAGGCCUAACACAUGCAAGUCGAACGAGUGGCGGACGGGUGAGUAAUGUCUGGGACACUGCCUGAUGGAGGGGGAUAACUACUGGAAACGGUAGCUAAUACCGCAUACCAUCGGAUGUGCCCAGAUGGGAUUAGCUAGUAGGUGGGGUACAGGCUCACCUAGGCGACGAUCCCUAGCUGGUCUGCGAGGAUGACCAGCCACACUGGAAGUCAGACACGGUCCAGACUCCUACGGGAGGCAGCAGGGAGGAAGAUUGCACAAUGGGCGCAAGCCUGAUGCAGCCAUGGCGCGUGUAUGAAGAAGGCCUUCGGGUUGUAAAGUACUUUCAGCGGAGAGGCGUUACCCGCAGAAGAAGCACCGGCUAACUCCGUGCGAGCAGCCGCGGUAGUAC